GCGGGCGUAGCUCAAUCGGUAGAGCGCCAGAUUGUGGCUCUGGAGGUAGCAAGUUCGAAACUUGUCGCCCGCCCCA
rnacentral:tRNA from 5 species